ensembl:lncRNA novel transcript
GUCUAGGUGCAGAGGCCAGAGGAAGUCAUUGCUGUCCUGUCCCGCCUGGGGCUUUUGUGGACCAGUCUCCCAGUGAGGUGCCUGGUCUGAGAGGGCCUUGACCAUUCCCCUUGGGAGUCUUUCAGACCCCAGUCUUGUGUGUUCUGACUGACACACCCAGACCCAUGGGGCUUCAGCCUCACAUGGAUUCACUCUGUUCCAGUUAAGCUGGACCCGCCCUCUGACUUGCAGAGCAACAUCAGUUCUGGCCACUGCAUCCUGACCUGGAGCAUCAGUCCUGCCUUGGAGCCAAUGACCACACUUCUCAGCUAUGAGCUGGCCUUCAAGAAGCAGGAAGAGGCCUGGGAGGGUGAAGAGAAUCUUCUACCAGAACGUGCCCUCUCCAGCGAUGUUCUUCCAGCCCCUCUACAGUGUACACAAUGGGAACUUCCAGCAGGUAGAGCAGAGCCGGAGCCAGGUGCAGGCCAUUGGAGAGAAGGUCUCCUUGGCCCAGGCCAAGAUUGAGAAGAUCAAGGGCAGCAAGAAGGCCAUCAAGGUGUUCUCCAGUGCCAAGUACCCUGCUCCAGAGCGCCUGCAGGAAUAUGGCUCCAUCUUCACGGGCGCCCAGGACCCUGGCCUGCAGAGACGCCCCCGCCACAGGAUCCAGAGCAAGCACCGCCCCCUGGACGAGCGGGCCCUGCAGGUCUGCUGGCUGCGCACAUAACUUAGCCUGUCACACACCAGGAGGACUGGAUACUGGGGAGGAGCCGGGGCCACCAUAGGGUUCUGUCCCC